rnacentral:rRNA from 1 species
UACAGAGGUCCCAAGCGUUGUUCGGAUUCAUUGGGCGUAAAGGGUGCGUAGGCGGCGCGGUAAGUCGGGUGUGAAAUCUCGGGGCUUAACUCCGAAACUGCAUUCGAUACUGCCGUGCUUGAGGACUGGAGAGGAGACUGGAAUUUACGGUGUAGCGGUGAAAUGCGUAGAUAUCGUAAGGAAGACCAGUGGCGAAGGCGGGUCACUGGCCCGGUACUGACGCUGAGGUGCGAAAGCGUGGGGAGCAAACAGG